rnacentral:tRNA from 1 species
AACCAGGUAGCCUAGUGGUUAAGGCUUUGGAUCGCCAAUCCGGAGACGGCGGGUCCAAUUCCCGUUCCGGUCG